GAGGACUUGGACACAGUUCCUGUGAACGGUUUUGGACCGAUGAUUGGGAUAUCCAUCUUUUCCCAUGUGCUUCAGCAACAGGGCAAUCACUUGCCAGUCACCUCACAUCUUGAGACUGUCUGCACCAUAAUUGAAACUGAUUUUGGGAAACUGUUACGACAACACAAUUCCCACUUGUAUCGCAGAUCCCAUGUAACAGGAUCUUACCCAAUCCAGAUUCAGCCCCGCUGUUCUUUUCAGACUUCCCAAAAUUGCACAUAGAUGGUUCAGUGACAGUAACAUUUAUUGAUGCCAUCAAAAUGCCCCAACAUGUACUGAGGACCAAAGUCAGAGCAACAUUGCUGUUCCUAAAACAAUUCGGUUUGACUUCUGCUUGCCAUCCUGACAUAAACCUAUACCAACUCCAGGUGCUGCUGCAGCAGUUUGGAGACCAAGGUUAUUUUGCUGUAGGGGAAGAAAAUCCAUAGGUUAUAUGUGGGGUUGGAAGAAGGCAGCUUAUUCAGUGGUGCUACUGUCAGAACUGCAAGAGGAAAAGCAAGUGCUGCUGCUACUGAGAUCUGUGAUUAUAGACAUCAGAUUUUCUUCUAGUGUUUCACUCACUGACAGUGAAAUUACCAAUCAGUUCCACUUCCCAUUUCCCAUGUACUAGCAGAUACAAACAAUGUUAAAAACAACCCGGUACUUGAAAACAUUUCAUAUUAAGGUUUGUUAAACUCCUUUUGGCCAAUCAUUUUCCUUUACCAAACCUACAUUCUGAGCAUAAAUUUGAGAGCAGUGUUUUAUUUGGUGUUUGUAUGUAUGGUGCUAGCCACAAUGGGACUCAAUCCUGAAUGAGGCCUCUGGUGCUCUUAGAAUAUAAAUGGUCAUCAUAGUUUAACAGUGCUCUUUUAAAAUAAUAGUUCAGCAGGAUGGAGUCUGGUUUAUGGCACGUUACACUGCCCUUCUGACUCUGCCAGUAUUGCAGAUGAUGUCAC
ensembl:lncRNA